rnacentral:rRNA from 1 species
UACGAAGGGGGCUAGCGUUGCUCGGAAUCACUGGGCGUAAAGCGCACGUAGGCGGAUUGUUAAGUCAGGGGUGAAAUCCUGGAGCUCAACCCCAGAACUGCCUUUGAUACUGGCGAUCUUGAGUUCGGGAGAGGUGAGUGGAACUGCGAGUGUAGAGGUGAAAUUCGUAGAUAUUCGCAAGAACACCAGUGGCGAAGGCGGCUCACUGGCCCGAUACUGACGCUGAGGUGCGAAAGCGUGGGGAGCAAACAGG